rnacentral:rRNA from 14 species
UAUGAAUAAGCACCGGCUAACUCCGUGCCAGCAGCCGCGGUAAUACGGAGGGUGCAAGCGUUGUCCGGAUUUAUUGGGUUUAAAGGGUACGUAGGUGGCCUUAUAAGUCAGUGGUGAAAUGCUGCAGCUUAACUGUAGCACUGCCAUUGAUACUGUAAGGCUUGAGUGUCGUUGAGGCAGGCGGAAUUUAUGGUGUAGCGGUGAAAUGCAUAGAUACCAUAAAGAACACCGAUAGCGAAGGCAGCUUGCUAAGCGACAACUGACACUAAUGUACGAAAGCGUGGGGAGCGAACAGGAUUAGAUACCCUGGUAGUCCACGCCGUAAACGAUGGAUACUAGCUGUGCGGA